UAACACGUAGGUAAUCUACCUUUGAGUGGGGAAUAACGUUCGGAAACGAACGCUAAUACCGCAUAAUGCAGCGGCACCGUAAGGUGACAGUUGUUAAAGGAGCAAUCCGCUUAAAGAGGAGCCUGCGGCAGAUUAGCUAGUUGGUAAGGUAAUGGCUUACCAAGGCUACGAUCAGUAUCUGGUUUGAGAGGACGAUCAGACACACUGGAACUGAGACACGGUCCAG
rnacentral:rRNA from 1 species